ensembl:lncRNA
CUCCCGAAGAAGCUGCGGUUUGGGGCCAGCAGACUGCACCAGCUGGGCAGGGUGGCUGCUCCUGCUGCGGACGCGGGCCACGCCCUCUUGGACGCGAACACACCCCCAUUUCCCCGGGCCCAGGGAGCCACGCCUGGCCCGGCAGCCAAACAGCAGGAAGGCAGAUUUGUACGAGGGUCUGUCUCUCCCACCUCCCCAGAUGUCUGGAGAAGCCGGCCUCCCUGCCUAGGUUGAGGGUGUGCAGCCUCCUGGGCCCGGGGACCAGCCAUUCUGGAUGUGUACUAGGAGGGAGGAAGGUUUGGAUGUGCUCCUGGCCAGCACCACCCAGAGCUGCUGAACUGGCCUUCACACCAAUCUUGCAUCAAGGAGAAGUUUCCAGCGUCACUACUCACGCUCCUGGCUCUGCCUCCCUGAGGCCUACUCCAGCUCCCGAGCCCUGGUGGAAGAACUCUGUGGAGGCCCAGCCCAAGAAGGGAAUUCAUCAAGCCACCUCCAGACACAGACUCUCCUCAGCCUCUCUUCACUCCCCCCUUCCAGACCCACCCAGCUGCCACAUGGGAGGCAGCGCCCUGGUGCCACUGAGCUGAGUAGCUUGCGCUGAGGGUAGCUGUCUACAGCACAUCUUGUAUGUGUGUGAGCACUAGACUUGCAGCCCACUGGGCUCUUGUUUUUUGUUUUUUGUGUUUUUUUGUACUGGGGAUGGAACUCGGGACCUUGCACUUGUGAGGCAGGUGCUGGAAUCACUGAGCUAAAUCCCUGGCCCUCUUGUUUUAAAGAAGUAGAAGACUAAUUUUUUAAAAAAUCACUAUGCACAAAAAGAUUAUCAAAUUUUAUUUACAACAGUCAGAAAGCCAUGCAGUGCAUACCUGUAAUCCUAGCACUCUGGGAGGCUGAGGCAGGAGGAUUGAAAGUCUGACCCUAGCCUGGGCAACUUAGUGAUUUAGUGAGACCCUGUGUCAAAAUAAUAAAAUAAAAAACUGGAGAUGUAGCUCACUGUGAAGGCUCUCAGUUCAAUUCCCAGUACCACCAGAAAUAAAUAAAUAAAUACUUAAAGGGGAAAGUCUUCUAAAAACAGAAAAUAUGAAAUCUAUUAUGGAGCAUCAUUUGAUGAUAAGUAUUUACCAUUCUAUAAAUAUGUACUGAGUUUCUGUAAUCUGCCUGGCAGCUGUAGGUCUUGUGGCCUGGAAGUGGGUCUCCUAGAGGCCAGGCUCUGUGCCAUAGAUGUUACCUGUAUCCUUAGCUCACCAAGUCCACCCACCUGCAUCCACCCUCUCCCCAUCUGUGGGGAAGGAGCAAUUCACAAUCUCAUUUACAGAGAAAAGGAAAGUGUAAACUCCUUCCCUAAGGAGGGCCAGAAGAAUAGCACCAGCAGUUCCCAGAGCCUGUGCUUCUGCCAUUGGAAAGAAAGGCCAGUGUACUGGUUUCCUAUAGUGGCUGCCACAAAUAACCACAGACUCAGUGUCUAAAAACAGUACCAAAUUUGAGAUGAUUCAUUUUUCAUCUUAUAGUUCUAGAGGCUGGAAGUAAUAAAAUUGGUCUCCCUGAAUUAAAAUCAAGCUAUCAACAGAGCUGUGUUCCUUUCUGGUAAAUUUAGGGGAGCAUUGUGGUUUAGAUAUAGGAUGUCCUCCUAAACUCUCAUGUGCUCACAAGCAAGCUUUUGGAAGGUGAUUGGAUUGUGGAGCAUGAUACUCAUUAGUGGAUUCAUCCAGAAUGAGUUCAGCAGCUGAGUGUCCUGUGAGGUAAGGCCUUGUGAGAGGUGGGUCCCUGGGGAUCUGGGCUUGAAGAGUGUAUCUCUCUCCCUAAUUCUUCCCAUUGCUCUGCUUCAUGACAACCAUGAUAUGAGCAACUGUCCUUCACUGGACCCUUCCACAAUACUGCUUCUGCCUUGGAGCCAGC